rnacentral:sRNA from 1 species
GCCGGGAGUGGUGUGCACACCUGUAAUCUCAGCAGCUCAGGAGGCUGAGACAGGAGGAUCAUGAGUUCAAAGCCAGCCUCAGUAAAAGCAAGGAACUAAGCAACUCAGUGAGACCCUGUCUCUA